GCCUCUAUAGCUCAGUGGUAGAGCAGCUCCCUCGUAAAGAGCAGGUCACCGGUUCAAAUCCGGUUGGGGGCU
rnacentral:tRNA from 1 species